GCAUGAGGGCUUGAUCCAAAGCUCACUGAAAUCAAUGGGCUUCUUUCUAUUGACUUCAGUGAAUUUUGGAUCAGGUCCUUGAUGU
rnacentral:pre_miRNA from 1 species